UGAGGAAUAUUGGUCAAUGGGCGAGAGCCUGAACCAGCCAAGUAGCGUGCAGGAUGACGGCCCUAUGGGUUGUAAACUGCUUUUAUGUGGGGAUAAAGUGAGCUACGUGUAGUUUAUUGCAGGUACCACAUGAAUAAGGACCGGCUAAUUCCGUGCCAGCAGCCGCGGUAAUACGGAAGGUCCAGGCGUUAUCCGGAUUUAUUGGGUUUAAAGGGAGCGUAGGCCGUGGAUUAAGCGUGUUGUGAAAUGUAGACGCUCAACGUCUGAAUUGCAGCGCGAACUGGUUCACUUGAGUAUGCACAACGUAGGCGGAAUUCGUCGUGUAGCGGUGAAAUGCUUAGAUAUGACGAAGAACUCCGAUUGCGAAGGCAGCUUACGGGAGCACAACUGACGCUGAAGCUCGAAGGUGCGGGUAUCAAACAGGAUUAGAUACCCUGGUAGUCCGCACAGUACGAUGGAUGCCCGUUGUUAGUUCACUUUAGAAUUAGCGACCAAGCGAAAGCAUUAAGCAUCCCACCUGGGAGUACGCCGGCCGGUG
rnacentral:rRNA from 1 species